rnacentral:rRNA from 1 species
AGCUCUCCGAGUGGUGUGGAUGGUUAUUGGGCUUAAAGCAUCCGUAGCCUGCUGAGCAAGUCCCCUGUUAAACCCAACGAUCUAAUCGUUGGUCUGCGGGGGAUACUGUUCGGCUAGGGGGCGGGAGAGGCCGCCGGUAUUCUCGGGGUAGGGGUGAAAUCCUAUAAUCCCGGGAGGACCACCAGUGGCGAAGACUGUCGGCUAGAACGCGCCCGACGGUGAGGGAUGAAAGCUGGGGGAGCGAACCG